ensembl:miRNA
CACAAUGUUAUACUGGGCAGCAGGAAGAGCUGUGUUGGGUGUAACUAACAGAGCUUUCUUUUUCUUCGAUGUGGCUAUUUGCA